rnacentral:lncRNA from 1 species
GUUUCUCGACGUGAAACAACUGGGAACGAGGCUGGGGGCUGAGAAACGACGGAUAACAUAGGAUAGUCCAACGGCAGCGAGCAAGCAUGAAACGCCAAGCAGGGAUGUCGCUCGGAGUACCCGCAGCAUCACCACGGAAGACGAGUAUUCGGCAAUUGCGUCGUUUUGGGUUUAGAGCGACUCUUCGACAACUAACGCCGCCGCCAGUACAGUGGACGCAUCCAAGGAUGAACCAGUACAGUGUACGCAUCCACGGAAAUAACCAAGAGCUAUAGACCACCACCGAGGACUACUAACGUCGCGAAUCCGCGACUUGGCGGCGGAGCAAGUGAGAGCAAUCGGAUGCGAAGCGAGAUACUUGGAACAACCAGUGGACCAGUGGAACGCGCAAACCAGCGCCAGAUCGACCAGCAAAAUGCGGAUUCACCACCGCGGAGCCAGAAACCCUGAUCCGGACAGACCAGUGAAAAUAUAACAAAGAGGGCAAAAACCGAAUCCGUCUAGGUAAUCUUGUGUUAGUGUUUUCUUGAAAGGAAAGGGACAAAUUUAGACACCACGAAAGUGAGACAACAAGAUGGCGUUCGCCUUGUUGCCUCACUUUCGUGGUGUGUGAAUUGGCGCCUUUCCUUUCAAGAUGCUUCACGAACUAAGGAGUACUUGUGUUAGUGAGUUUUCAAUUAACAAAAAA